rnacentral:rRNA from 1 species
AAAUUACCCACUCCUAGCUCGGGGAGGUAGUGACGAAAAAUAACAAUACGGGACUCUUACGAGGCCCCGUAAUUGGAAUGAGUACACUUUAAAUCCUUUAACGAGGAUCUAUUGGAGGGCAAGUCUGGUGCCAGCAGCCGCGGUAAUUCCAGCUCCAAUAGCGUAUAUUAAAGUUGUUGCAGUUAAAAAGCUCGUAGUUGGAUCUCGGGAGCGGUCCGGCGGUCCUCCGCAAGGAGGUUUCACUGCCGCGUCGCCGCUCUCACCUCACCGGCUCUGCCCGGGUGCUCUUCGUUGAGUGCCCGGGUUGGCCGGAAUGUUUACUUUGAAAAAAUUAGAGUGUUCAAAGCAGGCGUUCUCGCCUGAAUAUUGGCGCAUGGAAUAAUGGAAUAGGACCUCGGUUCUAUUUUGUUGGUUUUCGGAAGUCGAGGUAAUGAUUAGUAGGGACGAUCCGGGGGCAUUCGUAUUGCACGGUUAGAGGUGAAAUUCUUGGAUCCGUGCAAGACGAACUACAGCGAAGGCGUCUGCCAAGUGCGUCUUCAUUAAUCAAGAGCGACAGUCAGAGGUUCGAAGACGAUCAGAUACCGUCGUAGUUCUGACCAUAAACGAUGCCAGCUAGGGAUGGGCGGACGUUGUAUUUCGACUCCGCCCGGACCUUUCGGGAAACCAAAGCUUUUGGGUUCCGGGGGAAGUAUGGUUGCAAAGCUGAAACUUAAAGGAAUUGACGGAAGGGCACCACCAGGAGUGGAGCCUGCGGCUUAAUUUGACUCAACACGGGGAAACUCACCCGGCCCGGACACCGUAAGGAUUGACAGAUUGAAAGCUCUUUCUUGAUUCGGUGGGUGGUGGUGCAUGGCCGUUCUUAGUUGGUGGAGCGAUUUGUCUGGUUAAUUCCGAUAACGAACGAGACUCUAGCCUGCUAAAUAGUUCGCCGAUGCCCAAAGUCGGCGCAACUUCUUAGAGGGACAAGUGGCGUUUAGCCACGCGAGAUUGAGCAAUAACAGGUCUGUGAUGCCCUUAGAUGUUCGGGGCCGCACGCGCGCUACACUGAAGGAAUCAGCUGGUCUCUCCUGGCCUGAAAAGGUCGGGCAACCCGUUGAACCUCCUUCGUGCUAGGGAUUGGGGGUUGCAAUUCUUCCCCAUGAACGAGGAAUUCCCAGUAGGCGCGAGUCAUCAGCUCGCGUCGAUUACGUACCCUGCCCUUUGUACACACCGCCCGUCGCUACUACCGAUCGGAUGGUUUAGUGAGACCCUCGGACUGGUCCCGUCGAAGUGGGCAACCGCCUCGACGCGUGUGCCGGGAAGAAGG